rnacentral:rRNA from 1 species
GUGCCAGCCGCCGCGGUAAUACGUAGGGUGCAAGCGUUAAUCGGAAUUACUGGGCGUAAAGCGUGCGCAGGCGGUUUUGUAAGUCUGUCGUGAAAGCCCCGGGCUCAACCUGGGAAUUGCGAUGGAGACUGCAAGGCUUGAAUCUGGCAGAGGGGGGUAGAAUUCCACGUGUAGCAGUGAAAUGCGUAGAGAUGUGGAGGAACACCGAUGGCGAAGGCAGCCCCCUGGGUCAAGAUUGACGCUCAUGCACGAAGGCGUGGGGAGCAAACAG